AAGUCGUAACAAGGUCUCCGUAGGUGAACCUGCGGAGGGAUCAUUACACAAUAACAAGGCGGGCUGGACACCCCCCGCUGGGCACUGCUUCACGGCGUGCGCGGCGGGGCCGGCCCUGCUGAAUUAUUCACCCGUGUCUUUUGCGUACUUCUUGUUUCCUGGGUGGGCUCGCCCGCCCUCAGGACCAACCACAAACCUUUUGCAAUAGCAAUCAGCGUCAGUAACAACGUAAUUAAUUACAACUUUCAACAACGGAUCUCUUGGUUCUGGCAUCGAUGAAGAACGCAGCGAAAUGCGAUACGUAGCGUGAAUUGCAGAAUUCAGUGAAUCAUCGAAUCUUUGAACGCACAUUGCGCCCUUUGGUAUUCCAAAGGGCAUGCCUGUUCGAGCGUCAUUUGUACCCUCAAGCUUUGCUUGGUGUUGGGCGUCUUUUGUCUCCAGUUCGCUGGAGACUCGCCUUAAAGUCAUUGGCAGCCGGCCUACUGGUUUCGGAGCGCAGCACAAGUCGCGCUCUUCGCCAGCCAAGGUCAGCGUCCAGCAAGCCUUUUUUUCAACCUUUGACCUCGGAUCAGGUAGGGAUACCCGCUGAACUUAA
rnacentral:rRNA from 1 species